GACGAACGCUGGCGGCGUGCUUAACACAUGCAAGUCACGGGGGGCCCGCAAGGGUCAACCGGCGAACGGGUGCGUAACACGUGAGCGACCUGCCCAAUUGCGGGGGGAUAGCCGGCCCAACGGCCGGGUAAUACCGCAUACGCUUCCCCUGGGGGCAUUCUUGGGGAAGGAAACCUACGGGGCGAUUGGAGGGGCUCGCGGCCUAUCAGCUAGUUGGCGAGGUAACGGCUCACCAAGGCGAUGACGGGUAGCUGGUCUGAGAGGAUGGCCAGCCACAUUGGGACUGAGAGACGGCCCAGACUCCUACGGAGGCAGCAUGGGGAAUCUUGCGCAAUGGCCGAAAGGCUGACGCAGCGACGCCGCGUGGAGGAUGACGCCCUUCGGG
rnacentral:rRNA from 1 species